rnacentral:rRNA from 1 species
GACGAACCGUGCGAACGUUAUUCGGAAUCACUGGGCUUAAAGCGCGUGUAGGCGGAUGGGGACGUCGGUCGCUGAAAGCCCCCGGCUCAACCGGGGAAUGGGCGCCGAAACGCCCCGUCUGGAGGGACGUAGGGGGACCUGGAACUUCCGGUGGAGCGGUGAAAUGCGUUGAGAUCGGAAGGAACGCCCGUGGCGAAAGCGAGGUCCUGGACGUCAUCUGACGCUGAGACGCGAAAGCUAGGGGAGCGAACAGG